AGGUUAAUAGUUUUUCUUUACAAUCUCAUGGAAAACUCGAAGCAAAGAGAAUUCAAAGAUGGAAGGGAUGCCAGACAAAAGUUUCAGAUGGAUGAUCCCUUGAGCUGCCUAUUGGUCGCCAAUACUGGCUACUUUCUAAUCGUUCAAUAAUUAAAAGUAGUGGCAGUCUGAUGGGCCACAAGCAUAUGUAGGAUGGUGGUGGACGAAAGGCCGGUUGGUGACCGUGUGGACUGCACAGCGGUUGUUUAUGAUAACCCGUGACGAAGUGGUCCCGGGGGACUCCAUAGCUUCUCGGUCUUGUCACUGCUUGGCUCAUCGGAAGCCAAAGCCGCCAG
rnacentral:lncRNA from 1 species